AUCGACCGUCGGCUAAUUACCAACUGUGCUGUUAACUAACGUUCUGUCAUGUCUCCGUAGUGACGUGAAGGUGUACGACCCCUCCGGAGACUCCACCCUCCCCUCUGUUUCCAAGAAGAGGAAGUUUGAGGAGGUGGAGGAGGAAGAGGUGGCCACACCGGUGACAGUCAAACCCAAGAAACCCAAGAAAGAACCUGUGGAAGAACCAGAGGCUUCAACGGCAGCAGAAGAAACUCCCAAGAAGAAGAAAAAGAAGUUUAAGAAAGCCGAGGAGGACGUAAAGGAAGAGGAAGAGGAGGCGACCGUCUCUCCCACAGAGGAAUCGUCAAAGAAGAAGAAAAAGAAGAAAAAGGUCAAGGAGGAAGAGGGAGAUUAAUCUGGUUGGGGAGAAACUGUAUUAUAUUAGAACUUUUAGUUGUGGUUGUAUCUACCAGGGCCAGACUGACUGGUGUAUCUGACCGUUUAAAGACUAGAGAACUGGAGACGCAGGUUAUUUCAGAAUGACCAGCAGCUGAUCUGUUAUGAGACUUGAUGAUGUAUCUGACCGUUUAAAGACUAGAGAACUGGAGACGGAGGUUAUUUCAGACCAGCAGCUGAUCUGUUAUGAGACUUGAUGAUGUAUCUGACCGUUUAAAGACUAGAGAACUGGAGACGGAGGUUAUUUCAGAAUGACCAGCAGCUGAUCUGUUAUGAGACUUGAUAUAAAUCCUCCUGUGGAUUUGAGUUUAAGAUGAACCUUUAGUUUACUGUAACCUCUUAUUAUUACUAAUCAACUAAAGACCCAAUAGACUGUCUACAAAAUCAAUGUCCAUGUUAAAACACUUAAUUCCUCCACUGGUUUAACGAUGUGCCUUUUUUAAAAGAUGGGUUUUUCUGCUGUCUUUGUCCAUAAGUGAUUAAAUCCAUUUUCUCAGUCA